GAUCGCACAAAUAAACAUUUCUCUCUCUUUCCUCUCACCUUUUCUCUCUCUAACCCUAACCUAAUAACGCCGUCGACGUCGCCAGCAUUCCUGCCAAUCACCGUCGUCGCCGCGGCUCCUACCCAGUCCCGCAGUUGCCGUCACUGUCGACGGCGAAAAAUUGGAGAUAUGCUUUCUUUCUUUUCUUGGCUAAGAAAUGACAUUGAAAAAAGAGUUUGCCUAAUAUUGUUUCUGAUUUAUAAAGUGAAUUCCUGUAUUUAGAAUUAGAGUUAUAAGGAAUUCCACAGUAUUACUACCUGGAUACUGUUAAGUAUGCGACUGCGUAUUGGGUUUGAAUGUGAUAAGUUUUCCGUAUGACUUAAGACUUUUAUCAAGAGUGUGUUUCAACAGUUUGAAUGCCUUGUGAAUGUUCCUUGCAGUGACUGAUUUGACAAUAUAGUUCUUGCUUAUCUUUUUGUAUAAAAUAAGGAAUAAAUGCCUAAAGCUAUGAAGAAUAUAUUCCCCACUAUGUGACAAGGUGGGAAUAUGGUACCCAUUUAUGACCAACAAUACAUACAAGCAGAAUAACAGGAAAAGGCAAACGGAGUUGUCCAUAUAAGUUGAAGCAUCAUGGGUUGAGUAAGGAUUUCGCGUCACCUCACUAAACUGACUCAGUUAGUCCAAUAAUCCUCGCAAUUCUGCUUUUAUUGGGCAAGUUGCGUUGCAGUUUGGUACUCAACUAUGCGACUAUUGAUCCUUACUUCCUUUUUUUAAUACUCUGAAUAAUAUUGUUAAUGCUUUUCUGAGGAUAGGUAAAGAGUUGCUUGUAGAGAUGGUUGGAGAAACAUUCCUUCUGUAAUUAAUUACUUUUUCUUCUUCUCCUCCUCCUCCGUCGCUGCUUCCAUAGUUGCUUGACACAUUUGAACUUAUAGAAGGUAAAGAGGUUUAAAUUUGGGGAGAUUGAGUUUUUUUCCUUCUUCUUGUCCAUAGUUGCUUGACAACCUGUAAUGAAUUCUGAAUUUAUAGAAGUUAAAGCUAGCAGGUAAAGUGGUUUAAUCUUUUAGGGAGAUUGUUUUUUUUUUUCAACAGGAAAUUGAUCAUGUAGCUUGAAAUUACGUAAUCUGGUUUCUAAUGGGAUAUUUUACAUAAUAAGUUAUAUUUGAUUGCAGAUAUCGUGGAUGGAAAAAUUUGUGCGAAAGGGAACUGAAAUUACUGCUCUUGUUCCAAUGGCUCCACCAGCUACUACCGACCUUGGAGGCUUUGAAGUUCCAUCAUCUUAAGGAGUUCUGCGACCUGAUGCAAGCAAAUUAAAUGUUGGGGUUCUGCAUCUGGUCCCAUCUUUGGAGGUUUUCCCUCUUUUAGCAGAUCCUAAAACGUACUGGUUCACUGUAUUAUCUGAGCAUCUGUCGGACCUUGUUGACAAGUGGCUAGUGAGGGUGGAAUUGACGAUGCAAAAAGAAGGGGUGAUGCAUUUGCUCGGGCAUUUUCCGCACAUUUGGCUAGAUUAUAGAGUUUGUUUCAGUCUUGGUGAGUGUUAGCAGUGAAGCUGCUGAAAAGGAGUUGAUUCGGCUUGGUGCUGUUUAACGCAUCCUAGAAUUAUUUUUUGAGUAUCCAUACAACAACUUUUUGCAUCAUCAUGUUGAGACUAUCAUAGUUUCGUGCUAGGAGAGUAAGAAUAUUCAAUUUGCUGAACAUCUUCUUGGUGACUGUAAUCUUCUUGUGAAAAUUGUCGAGGCAGAGAAAAAUUCAACGCUUGUUGCUGAUCCAUCCAAGGUAAUAAUCAAAAUUUAGGUGCUUUACUCAACAUUCUUAAUUUUACUUGCUUGUCCUUCCCAAUUUUUUUUAAUUCUUUUCCUAAAUCUUGGGCUGUGGUGUUGAAGCCUUCUCCAAAACAAACCAGCAAUAGCGCCAGUUUCCUGGACCAACUUGACAUCUGAAUUUAACCUCAUCUGCACCAGUUUCCAAUAGUUCACUGAUGCAAAUCUUGGUUUCAAGUUGGUGCAUAUUAUUCCCAUAUCAUUUACUGUGGUUUUUGGGCCAAUGAGAUAGUAAAUAUCAUCAAAUUUGAAUAGGUGAUUGCCUCUUUUUUCCAAGGGUAAACACACUAGCAUUAAUAUUCAAUGGUUCCUCAACACAUUUAGCCACAACUGCUAUCUCUUGACUAGCUAUUGGUGCUACCACUACUUUACUUGCAUCAACAUCUGCUGCAAUUUUUUAAACCAUAUCUGCAUUAAUAACAGGUACUAGAGCUUGUUGAGUCACUUGUACUACAACUAACUGCCUGUCUUUAGAAACAAUGGGACUCACGUGUCAAACACACAAAGGCAUGUUUGAAUGUUAAUGUUGUGAUGGAUUUGUGGACUGUGCAAGUGUUUUGUGGAUGUUUGCGAGGGGUGAAGUAGUCUAAUGUUGUAGACUAACUUAGUGUAGACUAGUUUAAUAUUUUGUGGAUGUUUGCAAAGGUUGAAGUAGUUUAAUGUUGCGUUGAUGUUUGCGAAGGUUGAAGUAGCUUAAUGUCUCUUGUGAAUGUUUGAAUGACGUUUUGAUUCAACUUUGAAGUAGUUUCGAAUUGAAUUUUGAUGUAUUGGUGGUUGUAAUAUAUGUGUUUGUUGAAGUA